rnacentral:rRNA from 1 species
GACGAACGCUGGCGGCGUGCCUAAUGCAUGCAAGUCGCACGGGUCUCCUUCGGGAGGUCAGUGGCGAACGGCUGAGGAACACGUGGGGACCCAUCCUUCAGUGGGGGACAACACCGCGAAAGCGGUGCUAAUCCCGCAUACGCUCUGCGGAGGAAAGCGUGGCAACACGCGCUGAAGACUGGCCCUGCGGCCCAUCAGGUAGUUGGCGGGGUAACGGCCCACCAAGCCCGUGACGGGUCGCUGGUCUGUGAGGACGACCAGCCAGACUGGGACUGAGAUACGGCCCAGACUCCUACGGGAGGCAGCAGCAAGGAAUUUUCGGCAAUGGGCGCAAGCCUGACCGAGCAACGCCGCGUGCGGGAUGACGGCCUUCGGGUUGUAAACCGCUUUUGGGGGGGAAGAAACAGACGGUACCCCCCGAAUCAGCCCCGGCUAACUCUGUG